rnacentral:rRNA from 1 species
UACGGAGGGUGCAAGCGUUAAUCGGAAUUACUGGGCGUAAAGCGUGCGCAGGCGGUUUGUUAAGUCCGCUGUGAAAGCCCCGAGCUCAACUUGGGAAUUGCAGUGGAUACUGGCAGGCUGGAGUACGGUAGAGGAAGGUGGAAUUCCCGGUGUAGCAGUGAAAUGCGUAGAUAUCGGGAGGAACACCAGUGGCGAAGGCGGCCUUCUGGACCAGUACUGACGCUCAUGCACGAAAGCGUGGGGAGCAAACAGG